UGCGUAGGCGGGCUAAUAAGUCAGUGGUGAAAUCUCUCGGCUCAACCGGGAAACUGCCAUUGAUACUGUUAGUCUUGAGUUCGGUUGAGGUAGGCGGAAUGUGUAAUGUAGCGGUGAAAUGCUUAGAUAUUACACAGAACACCAAUUGCGUAGGCAGCUUACUAGACCGACACUGACGCUGAGGCACGAAAGCGUGGGGAGCGAACAGGAUUAGAUACCCUGGUAGCC
rnacentral:rRNA from 1 species